AUUUAGUGAUAGCUGGCUUCUGAGUGAUAUUUACCUAAGCUCUCCUUUUUUAUUGGUAUUUUCCAGACUGCAAACAUAACAGAAAGUUCUGUCCAUGUGACUCCAAGAUAUUGCAGGUGACUGUCAGCUUGAUGCAGAAAUUCACUUUGUCUCACUGCAUCACAGUUUAUGAAGUACAAUGCAAAUUCUUUGGUCUUUAGGGCAUGUCAUUUCCAUGUUCAGUUUUUGAAAUUAAUUUACACCAUUGCAAGACAAAGAAAGUGGAAAUUUUCCUGCUGUCAUACCCACCUCUGUUACCAGCCUUCCCUUUCGUUUCAGCAGUGUCUAGCAGGGAGCCCUUAUCUGCAUAUGAUGUUCACAAAGGGCCUGCUGGAACAUCCAAGUCCAGUCUGCACUUGUGAAGCACCUGCUCUGCAGGUAAACCUACUUGAUGGAAGACUUGCUGGCAGGUUCGUAUUACUUAUCCCUCAUUAUUGA
rnacentral:lncRNA from 1 species